GCCCCUGUAGCUCAAUGGACAGAGCGCCGGUCUUCUAAACCGUCGGUUGCGCGUUCGAAUCGCGCCAGGGGCG
rnacentral:tRNA from 1 species